AUUGAACGCUGGCGGCAUGCCUUACACAUGCAAGUCGAACGGUAACAGGUCUUCGGAUGCUGACGAGUGGCGAACGGGUGAGUAAUACAUCGGAACGUGCCCGAUCGUGGGGGAUAACGAAGCGAAAGCUUUGCUAAUACCGCAUACGAUCUACGGAUGAAAGCAGGGGACCGCAAGGCCUUGCGCGAACGGAGCGGCCGAUGGCAGAUUAGGUAGUUGGUGGGAUAAAAGCUUACCAAGCCGACGAUCUGUAGCUGGUCUGAGAGGACGACCAGCCACACUGGGACUGAGACACGGCCCAGACUCCUACGGGAGGCAGCAGUGGGGAAUUUUGGACAAUGGGCGAAAGCCUGAUCCAGCCAUGCCGCGUGCAGGAUGAAGGCCUUCGGGUUGUAAACUGCUUUUGUACGGAACGAAAAGACUCUGGUUAAUACCUGGGGUCCAUGACGGUACCGUAAGAAUAAGCACCGGCUAACUACGUGCCAGCAGCCGCGGUAAUACGUAGGGUGCAAGCGUUAAUCGGAAUUACUGGGCGUAAAGCGUGCGCAGGCGGUUAUAUAAGACAGAUGUGAAAUCCCCGGGCUCAACCUGGGAACUGCAUUUGUGACUGUAUAGCUAGAGUACGGCAGAGGGGGAUGGAAUUCCGCGUGUAGCAGUGAAAUGCGUAGAUAUGCGGAGGAACACCGAUGGCGAAGGCAAUUCCCUGGGCCUGUACUGACGCUCAUGCACGAAAGCGUGGGGAGCAAACAGG
rnacentral:rRNA from 1 species